rnacentral:rRNA from 1 species
AGAGUUUGAUCCUGGGCUCAGAUUGAACGCUGGUGGCAUGCUUAACACAUGCAAGUCGAACGGCAGCGCGGGGAGCUUGCUCCCUGGCGGCGAGUGGCGGACGGGUGAGUAACGCGUGGGAAUCUGCCCAGUAGUGGGGGACAACCCGAGGAAACUCGGGCUAAUACCGCAUACGCCCUACGGGGGGGAAAGCAGGGGAUCUUCGGACCUUGCGCUAUUGGAUGAGCCCGCGUCGGAUUAGCUUGUUGGUGAGGUAAAGGCUCACCAAGGCGACGAUCCGUAGCUGGUCUGAGAGGACGAUCAGCCACACUGGGACUGAGACACGGCCCAGACUCCUACGGGAGGCAGCAGUGGGGAAUAUUGGACAAUGGGCGAAAGCCUGAUCCAGCAAUGCCGCGUGUGUGAAGAAGGCCCUAGGGUUGUAAAGCACUUUCAGUAGGGAAGAAAAGCAGGGUGCCAAUACCCUUCUGUCAUGACGUUACCUACAGAAGAAGCACCGGCUAACUCCGUGCCAGCAGCCGCGGUAAUACGGAGGGUGCGAGCGUUAAUCGGAAUUACUGGGCGUAAAGGGCGCGUAGGUGGCAUGGUCAGUCGGAUGUGAAAGCCCUGGGCUCAACCUGGGAAUUGCAUUCGAUACUGCCAAGCUAGAGUGUGGUAGAGGGAAGUGGAAUUUCCGGUGUAGAGGUGAAAUUCGUAGAGAUCGGGAGGAAUACCGGUGGCGAAGGCGACUUUCUGGCUGAAUACUGACGCUGAGGCGCGAAAGCGUGGGGAGCAAACAGGAUUAGAUACCCUGGUAGUCCACGCCGUAAACGAUGUCAACUAGGUGCAGGGGGGCUUGAUCCCCUUCUGUGUCGCAGCUAACGCAUUAAGUUGACCGCCUGGGAGUACGGUCGCAAGAUUAAAACUCAAAGGAAUUGACGGGGGCCCGCACAAGCGGUGGAGUAUGUGGUUUAAUUCGAUGCAACGCGAAGAACCUUACCUGGUCUUGACAUCCCGAAAAAGCCCUAGAAAUAGGGAAGUGCUCUCUUUGAGAGAAUUUGGUGACAGGUGCUGCAUGCGUCAGCUCGUGUCGUGAGAUGUUGGGUUAAGUCCCGCAACGCGCGCAACACUCGCCAUUAGUUGCCAGCAUUACGUUGGGCACUCUAAUGGAGACUGCCCCGGUUAACGGGGAGGAAGGUGGGGAUGACGUCAAGUCCUCAUGGCCCUUAUAUCCAGGGCUACACACGUGCUACAAUGGCCGGUACAGAGGGCCGCGGACCCGCGAGGGCGAGCAAAUCCCACAAAACCGGUCGUAGUCCGGAUCGGAGUCUGCAACUCGACUCCGUGAAGCCGGAAUCGCUAGUAAUCGCGGAUCAGCACGCCGCGGUGAAUACGUUCCCGGGCCUUGUACACACCGCCCGUCACACCAUGGGAGUGGGCUGCAAAAGAAGUAGGUAGCUUAACCUUCGGGAGGGCGCUUUACCACUUUGUGGUUCAUGACUGGGGUGAAGUCGUAACAAGGUAACC